GCAGAAAUCCUUCACAGAAGUAAUGACCUGAACUUGCAGAAGAGGGAGCUAAAGCUCAGAGAAGUUAAACAAACUCAAGAGAAUGUUACCAGUGGUGGAAGCAGGAUCCCAGCCCAGAUCUGUGCAGCCUGUAGCCGUGGAAAUUCAGAUCUUGUUGAAUGAAUGUCUGCUGGUUCCAGUUCCUCGUGCCUGAUGUCCAAACCCAUGAGUCUACCUACCUACCACCCCACCAGCCUGCCACCUGUUGGGCACCUAGUGAUGCCUCGCCUCUGCAUUCAAGGAACCAGAGUUGGUGUUUUGCUGAUGAAGAUGCUUUACUCUGCCGACUCUCCCCUUCUCCAAACCAUGGCAGGAAGAUGUGCAUUUUUGUCUUGAAGAUAUUCUAAGCCAAGAAGGCAAGGCUCCUAUAUUUCUUCAGAUGCUUUUAUUUUUUAUUUUUAAUUUAUUUUUAAUUUUUUUUAACGUUUAUUUAUUUUUGAGACAGAGAGAGACAGAGCAUGAACGGGGGAGGGUCAGAGAGAGGGAGACACAGAAUCCGAAACAGGCUCCGGGCUCUGAGCUGUCAGCACAGAGCCCGACGUGGGGCUUGAACUCACAGACCGCAAGAUCAUGACCUGAGCUGAAGUCGGCUGCUUAAUCGACUGAGCCACCCAGGCGCCCCCAGAUGCUUUUAUUAAAUGAAACAUUUUCUGUUGUAUUUGAAGCCACUUGUUCUGCUUCAGUGUUCUCUAAACGCUGAGGAAUAUUGAUUAGGAUUUCUCUGAGAAAUGUAUUUGUCCAUUUGUCAAUGGAUUCUUGUGUGUGUUUUGUGGAUAAAGACUGGAGUAGCAACAAUAAUCAUCUUGUCAACACUCUGUCAUAGGGUAAAUCAUGUUUCCCAACAGCAGUGCACACAAGAGGUCAGGGCGUGACUGACUCUGGCCUCUAUGCCUAUUCUUCAGACUCAUUUAGCCAACCCAACUGUACCUUGCAUUCAUAUUUCUGAGAUUUUUACUGUGAAGGACAUGUCCCCUGCACAUGCCCUUCACAAAUGUUAUAGUGUACUUUCUAAUACUGUAAUUAUCAUUUUCCACAUUCGUGGAAACAUUGAUGUAUAUCUUUAAAGCAGUAGCACACCUAAUUCUUGGAUGUUUCUUUUGAAAAUGUAAGUUGGUUUUAUUAAUGAUCUGCAAAUGUGUUUGGAGAUUCUGCUAUAUACAAGGCUUCAUGUUUUUGAAAUAACAAAAUAUUGAAAAAUGUUUGGAAAUAGUGAAAAAGUUGCAAUGUAAAAAUCCACUGUUUAAGGUCAAUGCUUGGAUGAUCUUGGGAAAGACAUGGUUAAAAAAUAAUGCCCAGGGCUACUUCUGUGGAGCUCUUUACCAGAGAUGGGAGGUUACGUACUGGUGUAACUCGAAGCUCCCCAGGGCACUGAGAAAGCAGAGGGUGUAUUUUCAGCUCUGUCUCCAAGCAGAAAAUUACUUUUCAUACCAGUAUUGGAUUAAGUAGCUUAUGGUGCCAUCCCUUUGGGACACUAAACCAUUAGUGAGAAAUAACACAUCACUGGAAAGCAGGCAAAAUGUUUGUUUAGUGUGAUUAUCAGAAGCUUUUUAGGAUAGUUCUCAUGUGUUUGGAAGGAAUACUUUGAUAGGCCAGUGCCGAGGAAUCUCAAUGAGGGACAUGCUCCAGUACCAGCAGGUCACUAAUCUGCCUCUGGAGAGGCAGGUUUGGUCUCCCGGUGGGGGCAGGGAGGGGAUGGGGUUCAACCUGUGCCCAUUCUUCCCCAAGCAGCACUUAGCCUCCUCCCCUAGGAGAGCACUGGACAAAGACAAUACUCAUUUCAAGGAACUCCAGAUUCUCAGUGUGCCCCAUGUUAGACAUGUGCUGAGCACAGUGUCUGUUUCAUUGUCAGUGGUGUCUGGGUGAGGUGCUCCCCAGUGUCCAGAGAGGAAAGAACUGAGGAAGCUGUGUCCUCUGCAGGGUUCCGUCUCUACGAGGCUACACUGAGCCUGAGUGUGACACCUUUCAUUUAUGUCUCUGGAAAAGUCCUGUGUUUGAAGUAAAUUUUCCUACCAAAGAGGUGCUGUAAUAUUAAGGUAUUUAUUUGGCCAAUGGCAUCAUACCAAAUGAUUUUAGUAGACUUGCAAAUAAAUUACAUUCAUUUGCUCAAGGGUGUAAAGCCAUACCUCAAAUAGUCUUCAUAAACAAGGUUGUGUUAUUAAGGAAACAUGCCAGAACACUGUUUAAGAAAGUUUUUUUUUUUCCAGAAUUAUGCAAGCCAGAGUCAGGGGCAUUCCAAAACCUUUAUUUUCCCAUUUUUCAUCACUGUAUUAUUAAAAAAAAAAAA